UACGAAGGGGGCUAGCGUUGCUCGGAAUCACUGGGCGUAAAGGGUGCGUAGGCGGGUCUUUAAGUCAGGGGUGAAAUCCUGGAGCUCAACUCCAGAACUGCCUUUGAUACUGAAGAUCUUGAGUUCGGGAGAGGUGAGUGGAACUGCGAGUGUAGAGGUGAAAUUCGUAGAGUAUUCGCAAGAACACCAGUGGCGAAGGCGGCUCACUGGCCCGAUACUGACGCU
rnacentral:rRNA from 1 species